ensembl:lncRNA
GGAGAAGAAUGCAGAAAGCGGCAGGCUAGAGCAUGAGGCUAGUGUGGAGGGGAAGACCACAGUUCCAAGGAGGAAGAGGAUCCCCACCACAGUGAGUGAUCGGUGGACACUGAAACGGAAGGAUGACUGGGAGGAUGAGCUGCGAUGGAAGCCAUGUCAGGUUGCUGCUGCUGCUGCUGCUGCUGCUAAGUCACUUCAGUCGUGUCCGACUCUGUGCGACCCCAUAGACCGCAACCUACCAGGCUCCCCCGUCCCUGGGAUUUUCCAGGCAAGAACACUGGAGUGGGUUGCCAUUUCCCUCUCCAGUGCAUGAAAGUGAAAAGUGAAAGCGAAGCCGCUCAGUCGUGUCCAACCCUCAGCAACCCCAUGGACUGCAGCCUUCCGGGCUCCUAUUGAGCAGGUGAAUUUUUGGAAACAGUUCAUAUGGAAGACGAGGAUCUGGAAAUGAGUUCCCUUGAAACCAUCUGUACAGACAUGGCCCGUGGAACAUCCUUCUGUCCUCUCCCUGUUUGGAAGCUUCCACCCAGAGGUUCAGGGCCCAGGAGCUCUGUCUGAGAGAGCGCUAAGGGCAGAGGGUUUUCUUGGACCUGUUUUGUGUGCAAAGCACGUAUAAGUCAAAGCCUUUUUCCGCAAGUGAGGUUGGUUAAGCAGAGAAAAGACAGCGAGGUGUUUUGUUUGUCUGGAAUCCUAUGGGCUUGGAGGCACAAUCUGGUGUACAGCAGGCCAGAGGGUCUGGAGUUAGCUGUGAUAUCAGGUGUUCUAGAGAGACUCUUUUGGGUCUUUGGUGGCCAUUACCCUCUAAGCAUAGCUUCACAUGAUAGGAUGAAGUUUCUUUGCACUAACAGUGUCAGGAGCUGGAACUGGAGUUACAAGUCUAGUUUAAAGAGCUAUCCAAAGGUUUCCAUUUCUACUGGCUUGAGGGCAAAAGAGGUUGUUGGGGGGCUUGCCUUUGGCCUCUGAGCCCAAGGGAUUCCAAAUGAAUGCUCUGCAAAGGUAAGCCUGUAUCAUUCAGCUUUGUGCAUUCAUCCCCAUAGCUUGUGCAAGGCAGACAGUGUUCAAUAAAGAAAUAUUGUACCUGAGAAUAAAAUGGCAUUGUCCUUU